GACGAACGCUGGCGGCGUGCUUAACACAUGCAAGUCGAACGGUGAAGCGCCUUCCUUUUUGGUGGGUGUGGAUGAGUGGCGAACGGGUGAGUAACACGUGAGUAACCUGCCCCCUUCUUCUGGAUAACCGCAUGAAAGUGUGGCUAAUACGGGAUAUUCUGGGUCUGUCGCAUGAUGGGUCUGGGAAAGAUAUUGUUUCGGUGGGGGAUGGGCUCGCGGCCUAUCAGCUUGUUGGUGGGGUGAUGGCCUACAAAGGCGGUGACGGGUAGCCGGCCUGAGAGGGUGGACGGUCACGCUGGGACGGAGACACAGCCAAGACUGCUACGGGAGGCAGCAGUAGGGAAUACUGGAGAAUGGGCGCAAGCCUGAUGCAGCGCCGCCGCGUGAGGGAUGGAGGCCUUCGGGUUGUGAACCUCUUUCGCCAGUGAAGCAGGCCUGCCUAGUUUGUGGGUGGGUUGACGGUAGCUGGAUAAGAAGCGCCGGCUAACUACGUG
rnacentral:rRNA from 1 species